GCCACAUGCGGUAUAUGCGGAUGUGGUGAGGAGGAUGAAUUCCAUGCGGUAGUUGCUUGUACCAAGAGUAAAGCUCUAAGGUAUGAAGAAAUGAGAAAGGAGUGGGAGAUCCCUGAUGAAAUUUCCUUCAGGUAUACUGGCCCGGACUGGCUGCAAGUUCUUCUAGAUAAAUGCUCAGAAGACAUGCGGGCGAGGGUGCUGAUGCUGCUAUGGAGAGGGUGGCACCUGCGAGACAAUUGUGUUCAUGGGAAAGGC
rnacentral:rRNA from 1 species